CCGGAUUUUCGCGCCUGCUGCCAUCUUGAGGAGGGGAAAGACCGCAGCAAGCCUAGGUUGGAGAUCUCAGUUCACUGACCUAUAGGGUCCUCCGGUAGUUUAAAGAAACGCCCUGCUUACCAUUAAGGCAUAGCGAGAGUCAGGAAGAAUGAAGAUCCAAUAUAAAGAAGGUGGGAAGACUUGGAGGUGCCCUUGGGUGUAGAAAAGAGGUUUCUGUCUUUAGAAGGCCUUUCCACAUCAAAAUGACAUCUUUGGCAUUUGUAGAGGUGUGAGGUACUGUUUUAAAAUCCUUUACAAGGGGCGCCUGGGUGGCACAGCGGUUAAGCGUCUGC